GCUUAUUUCUCCUCACCAAACUGGAAAUUUUUGAAGUCCAAGAUAUUACAUCUUCAUUUUCACCUAAAACCUCGGAUUGGUCGUGAUAAUAGGAGUGGUUCUCCCACAAAGUGCUGUAGUUUAAGCCAUAGGCUGAGUUUCGUAUAAAAGAGUAUCGUCGUUUGGUAAUUUCUACAAACAGAUGACAUGCAUGAUGAAAUAAAGGAUACAUAUUAUAAAUCUAGUUGAAGAAAGUUGU
rnacentral:lncRNA from 1 species